UCUAAAUGCACACUGGGAGCAGAGAGAUUUGGAGCUUUGGUUCUGUUUCUUCCAUCAAAUUGCUGCAUGGCUUUAGGCAGAUCUCAUCACCUGCCUGGAUACUCAGUUUAUAGACAUAUAAAUGAAGCCCCACAGCUUUGAGCUGGGAGAAGGCUGCUCCAGUUCUACACUAUCCUUCCCUAUGUGACUUGAUGAAACCAAGCCUUUCUGUUCCCUGAGGUACAAUAUUGAAAUUAGGCCAACUAAUAACCCACCCCACAGUGGCCUCUAAGUGUUCAAGUAAAAGGAAGAGUCACAUUUCUCUCAUUUUAAAUUGAAAGCUAAAACUGAUUAAGCUCAGUGAGGAAGGCAUGUCAAAAGCUGAGACAGGUAGAAAGGUGCAUGGCUCCAGCUUCAAACAAAAUCCAUAGAUCUGGACAUUUUCCUAGGAAGUUGUUUCAAUAAGAACAGUUUAUUCCUAUCAGAGAAUCAAAUCUACUACUUUAUCUGCUACCCUCCAGAAUGUAAACAUCAUGUUUGCAUCGACUCCAGCUUAAUGCUUAAUUGCUCCAUAAAAUGUGUACUGGCCUAUCCAGUACACUCUGCAUUUCAUUUUCUUUGCCACAUUGAUUGGCUCAGGAAUAAGCAUAGGGACUGAUGCAAUCCAGUGAAAGUCCUGAAAUUCAUGUGGAAAAUGUAGAGAAGAGAAAACCUCUUUUGACUGUACUUAGAAUGGUGUGGAACCACACCUGGAGUUGUUGGCUCCAACAAGGAAAAUGAAGACUAAUUCAUUUUGAGUGAGGGGUACCAAGCCCUGAUAUUAUUUGGGUACCUGGAUCCAGUUAUGAUUUAAAUGCUUGAACUUUCCACUCAUGUGAAUCAAUUCACACAUGCUUUUGAUUAAGCUCAUUGGAUUUUCUGUCUCUCCCAAUCAAGAAUCUUCACUAAUACAGGAAGGUGGGUCAGAUAUUAUAAUUCUCACUUUACAAAGCAUGAAAUGGAGGCUCAGAGAAGCCUUAAGGUAGAGAGGUCCAAGUUCUCUAAUUCAAGGGCUCCUUCCAUUGCUCCACUCUACUCAUUCAGUGAUUCAUUACAGUAAAAUGGGAAGAACUGACACAUACAUCCAUUGUUAUCUUUACUGACUUUAACAUUUCUGCUUUUGAGAAAAUGGAUGAAUCUUUCACAGUGCUACCAUGGGAGAUAAUCUAUUAUUUUAGUAAAAUAAAGAUGGUUAUGUAUACUCACACACACACGUAUAUACACGUACAAUAAAAGGCCACAAUAGGUGUUUUGGAUUUGUGCAUAUUUUCUUCCCUAAGGGCCUUUCCAGAAUAUAGGCUGGCUCUUGUUGAAGCCCACUUCCCCCCCAGGGGACUUCUGCACUAAGUCUAUGGACCAUCUCUGCUUCCUCCAUCAUCCUCAUGCCAGCCUUGCCUGCUGAAAACUCAUCAUCCUCAGCCUGACUGAAAACUCUUUGCUCAGCAGAGUGACCUGUAUAGUGACUCAUCUACAGGACGGUGAGUCACUAAGCAAAGAUCACAAAGAGGAAGCCUGAACACAAAUCCCACUCCCCUUAUAUUUUGUUUGACUCACACUUUUUUUGAGCUACAAUUAAACUUUGAGAAAUUUUACAUAAAAACUUAGAUUUCAAGCUUUGCUUGAAAAAAAUCAAAAGGACUGUCAACUAUGCAUUGCCACAAGGUGACAUGGGCCAAAUCUGACUCCUAUCUGAGUCCUUUAGAUGUAUUUUCUUCCUUCACCCUAUUCCCCAUCUGGCCUCUUUUUACUCAUUUCUGCCACCUGCCUGGCCUCUGUGAGCAUACACAUUUGCAAUCCUUGUCCUAACUUUCCUUUGACCUAUUUGGGGCUAACCCGAUUGAGAUGCCACCUUGCCCUCCAGUGGCUGUGACUGGAAGCAGCCUGUUUCUAG